AACGAACGCUGGCGGCAUGCCUAACACAUGCAAGUCGAACGAGACCUUCGGGUCUAGUGGCGCACGGGUGCGUAACGCGUGGGAACCUGCCCUUAGGUUCGGAAUAACUCCCCGAAAGGGGUGCUAAUACCGGAUAAUGUCUUCGGACCAAAGAUUUAUCGCCUUUGGAUGGGCCCGCGUUGGAUUAGCUAGUUGGUAGGGUAAAAGCCUACCAAGGCGACGAUCCAUAGCUGGUCUGAGAGGAUGAUCAGCCACACUGGGACUGAGACACGGCCCAGACUCCUACGGGAGGCAGCAAUGGGGAAUAUUGGACAAUGGGCGAAAGCCUGAUCCAGCAAUGCCGCGUGAGUGAUGAAGGCCUUAGGGUUGUAAAGCUCUUUUACCCGGGAUGAUAAUGACAGUACCGGGAGAAUAAGCGCCGGCUAACUCCGUG
rnacentral:rRNA from 1 species